CGGGCUCCCGCCCCUGGCCCACGCACCUGUGCUCAUCAUCACACCUGUCCCUGGUUGUAGUAAUCAGAAGAGCUUCUUAAGAUGGCCGACCUACACUACUCGUCGCUGGAACGUUGAGCCACCAGCAUCUUCCCCGGACCAGUCCCUGUAUCUGUGAACGAGCGAGUGAACGAGAGGAGCGUUGGAGGAAAAGAGUGGGACUUUGUGCUGAGAGAGUGGAGUGUGUUUUUGGACCUUUCCCCCUUCCCCUCGGACCCUGGAGCCCCAGAACCCUCUCCCUAACACUUUGUAUAUAUAAUCACCUGGUGUAAUCACUGUAAAUAAACUCACUGUCAGCUUUUGAAAAGA